CAAGCGGUGGAGCAUGUGGUUCAAUUCGACGCAACGCGAAGAACCUUACCUGGGCUCGAACGGCUUAAGACCAUCUUUGGAAACAGAGACUUCCCGCAAGGGACUUGAGUCGAGGUGCUGCAUGGCUGUCGUCAGCUCGUGUCGUGAGAUGUUGGGUUAAAUCCCGCAACGAGCGCAACCCUUGUCCUGUGUUGCCACUCCGUAAGGAAGCACUCGCAGGAGACCGCCAGGGAUAACCUGGAGGAAGGUGGGGAUGAUGUCAAGUCAUCAUGGCCUUUAUGUCCAGGGCUGCACACGUGCUACAAUGGACGGUACAAAGCGCUGCGAACCCGCGAGGGGAAGCUAAUCGCAAAAAACCGUUCUCAGUUCGGAUCGCAGGCUGCAACUCGCCUGCGUGAAGCUGGAAUCGCUAGUAAUGCCGUAUCAGAAUGAUGGCGUGAAUACGUUCCCGGGCCUUGUACACACC
rnacentral:rRNA from 1 species